rnacentral:rRNA from 1 species
UACAGAGGUCCCGAGCGUUGUUUGGAUUCACUGGGCGUAAAGGGUGCGUAGGUGGCAUGGAAAGUUUGAUGUGAAAGCUCAGGGCUUAACCCUGAAAUGGCAUUGAAUACUGCCGUGCUGGAGGUUUGGAGGGGGGGACUGGAAUUCUUGGUGUAGCAGUGAAAUGCGUAGAUAUCAAGAGGAACACCAGUGGCGAAGGCGAGUCCCUGGACAACACCUGACACUGAGGCACGAAAGCUAGGGGAGCAAACAGG